UAUCACUCCUUUACGGGAAGGAUAAGAAGCUUCGACAAGGUUCGAGUNNGAGUCUCACGCAGUGAGACAACGUGCUUUAGCGCGGCCCGCAGGGUGAGGAACGAAGAGACGAAUAAUCCUUCCCCCACCACCA
rnacentral:sRNA from 1 species